rnacentral:rRNA from 1 species
AUUGAACGCUGGCGGCAGGCCUAACACAUGCAAGUCGAACGAGUGGCGGACGGGUGAGUAAUGUCUGGGAAACUGCCUGAUGGAGGGGGAUAACUACUGGAAACGGUAGCUAAUACCGCAUACCAUCGGAUGUGCCCAGAUGGGAUUAGCUAGUAGGUGGGGUAACUGCUCAACUAGGCGACGAUCCCUAGCUGGUCUGAGAGGAUGACCAGCCACACUGGAACUGAGACACGGUUCAGAGUCCUACAGGAGGCAGCAGUGGGGAGUAUUGCACAAGUGGCGCAAGCCUGAUGCAGCCAUGCCGCGUGUAUGAAGAAGGCCUUCGGGUUGUAAAGUACUUUCAGCGGGGAGGCGUUACCCGCAGAAGAAGCACCGGCUAACGCCGUGCCUGCAGCCGCGGUGAUAC